CGCGCCUUGGCACUUCUAGAUCCCAAUUUCCAGCCCGGCGCUGCCGGCUGGGGUCCCACACAUCAAAAGAAUCUAAUGUGGGGGAACGGCAGAGGCUGCCAACUUCCCGCGGCGGUCUCGAGAACUGGCUUUCCAGAGAGACGGAGUUCUGCACUUGGUGGAGCUGGGUUCCUCCCCUGUCACCGCUGUUGCUCAGCUGUGUGUCUUGGGAGGUGACCUCCAUUCUGGGCAACAUCAACACAUGAGGCCACACCUGCCUGGACAGUCUGCCUAAAGGUGGAGACAGGAAGAUGACAGCAGCUGUUACAAGGUGGAGCGGUGCUGUCUGUCGGGCUGGGCUGGAGUUUGUGACCGCAGAUGGAACACAGAGAGAAGAGAGUGUAUGCUUUAUGAGGCUGUCCUGGGUUAACACAGGACACAUGCUAGUCAGUCCUCAGUUCUGACUACUGGGGUAGGGGGACGAAUUGAGUUUCUCUAAGAGUCACUUCCAGGGGAAUAUCUGACAUGCUGAACCUGGACAUGAAGCCUGGGACCUACUCCUUCAUGAAACAGUUGCUGAACAAAUACUGGACCCCAGGCUCUAAGCUAGGGGCUGGAGAAUACAAAGACAGACAAAACCUGAUAGGGUUCUGGCCUCUGCAGAACUCACACCUGAGGACAGAAUGACUUAUAUAGGAAUCUCAAAGGCAGAGCACUUUGGCAGGUCCCACAGGAAAAGACCUAAUGUGAGGGCAGGCCCUAAGAAGCACUGCAAUUUAUCAGGGAGCUCAGGCAAGGCUUGGGAGUUGGGGGGAGUAUAACCAGUAGCAGCAGCCAUAAAAUGUUACUGGUGAUGACCCAUGGAGGGGG